GGAACUUUUGAAGAGCUCUAUCAAGGAAAACUACACGAUCGACUUUAAUAGCUUCCUUCAGUUUCCUGUCAGGCAACACAACGGCUGAAAUACUUCAAGCCACAGAAUAAGAUAAGAGGUCUCUUCACCAAGCUCUUUACAGCUGAAGAAUAAACAACAUGCACGAUCGUGUGAAUAUGCUGC